GCCCAUCAUGCUGUCAAGUGGCAAUCACUUACAAAGCAAGUCUAUAACCAAAUGUUUUACAACCUGAGGAACUUCUUAAAUCAAUUAUUCUAUAAUUUAUACAGAUACUACAAAAACACCUGGCAUCUUAAAUUUAUAUAGACAUUAGAUAACUCCAUUUACAAAAGCACAAAGACCACAGGCUACAACAUGUUGAGUGUUGACCAUAAUGUACUGUAUUGUUUAAAGCUUCAAGUUUUUAACACAAGCAAAAGCUGUCACCCCAAAGUUCUGGCAACAAUAUGUCAAUUUAACAAAACAAUGACAACGUGUGCGAUGAUUUCAUUCAGCCAAUUCUUUC